AGAGUUGAUCCUGCUCAGGGUAACGCUGGCGGCGUGCCUAACACAUGCAAGUCGAACGGUUCUAAGCGCGAGCUUAGGAUAGUGCGAACGGGUGAGUAAAAGGUAGGAAUCUACCCCUUGGACGGAGAUAGCUACUGGAAACGGUAGGUAAACUUCGAUAAGCCCGAGAGGGGAAAGUGGUGAGACAGCCGAGGGAUGAGCCUACUCUCCAUCAGGUAGUUGGUGAGAUAAAAGCUUACCAAGCCGAUGACGGAUAACCGGUGUGAGAGCAUGAACGGUCACAAGGGCACUGAGAGACGGGCCCUACUCCUACGGGAGGCAGCAGUGGGGAAUCUUGGACAAUGGGCGAAAGCCUGAUCCAGCGACGCCGCGUGGAGGAAGAAGUCCUUCGGGAUGUAAACUUCUGAACUAGCCGAAUAAAAGGCCUGUGGACACACAGGAGAAGAAAGUAGGCUAGGAAAAGUCCCGGCUAACUACGUGCCAGCAGCCGCGGUAAGACGUAGGGGGCAAGCGUUACCCGGAAUUACUGGGCGUAAAGGGGGCGUAGGCGGUAAAAGAAGUCAUCUGUGAAAACCUAUUGCUCAACGAUAGGCUAGCGGAUGAAACUGAAUUACUUGAGGGCACCAGAGGUAGACGGAAUUACCCGAGUAGGGGUGAAAUCCGCAGAUACGGGUAGGAACGCCGGUGGAGAAGUCGGUCUACUGGGGUGCACCAGACGCUGAGGCCCGAAAGCUAGGGGAGCAAACCGGAUUAGAUACCCGGGUAGUCCUAGCCGUACCUCCCCUCCUCUCUAGGUGUAGGGAGUGAUAAACUCUCKGUGCWGAAGCGGAAC
rnacentral:rRNA from 1 species